GUGUAAUGAAAAAAAAAAAAGGGGGAGGGAGGAAGGAAGAAAAAGGGAGAGGGGGAAAAGUGGUUUCUUUUUGGUCCCCAUGUCUCCAUUUCUGCGUUUCAUAAUUCAGCUGAAUCUAGGAAGCAUAGUGUGAUGGCUUUCCGAAAAAGGAAGGAAGGUGUUUUACUGCCAAAUUGAAUAUAUAGAUUUGGCUGUGAUUUUUAAGCCACCUGGUAACAUAUUUCAGGAUCUCUCCUUUUGUGCCUGUAUCUUAGCUCCAUCUAGAUACGAAUGUGUACUGGACUUGAAUACAAUAAAAAGGCUGACUUUUUACUUCGCCUUGAAUCUCUAACAUUUUCUGCCUUAUGAAAAAUGUACACUGCAAUGUUGUGUUUGGCCCGGGCUCCUAAAAAAAAUCCUCCUUCAGGAGAAUUUGACCCUGUUCCCAUUGUUUUCUCAGCAUGUUUUCAGCAUCAGCACAUUGAUUAUGCUGUCAUUAGCCAGAAUCCUGAGACAGGAAAAAGACCUAUCAGAUCACCAAAGUCCGUUCCUGGAGCGGGCCUCGGUCCCCUGGGAGAGACUGGGACAUGGCAUCUUAGGCCAAUGACCAAGGCAGAUGUAAAGGCAUGUGAAAUUGUACCCUGCUACGGUUUUUAAUUUUUGCAAGUUUCUGCAAUAACUCCCGGGGACUCUUCAUAAGACAGUUACACUGCUGAAUUUGGGUUGGAGAGGACCCUGCCUGACAAAAGCUUCCUGGUUGGCUGUUCAACCCCCAGCUUUCUGUGAGACCUAGCACCUGCCUUGGUCUCAUCUGUGAUGUAGAUUUCAACGCUACCGAUCAGGGGAGGUUAUAAAGGGGAAAAAUGGAUAAAAUAACUUACUUUAUGAACUGUCGCUGAAAUACUAGCAUCAAAAAAGUAAGCAGAGGCUGGCCCCGUGGUCUAGUAGUUAAGUUUGGCACCCUCGGCUUCAGCAGCCCAGAUUUGGCUCCCGGGCAUGGACCUACAAAGCUCAUGGACGGCCGUGCUGUGGCAGUGAUCCACCUACAAAAUAGAGGAAAAUUGGCACAGAUGUUAGCUCUGGGCAAAUCUUCCUCAGCAAAAAAAAAAAGUAAGCAAUAUUACAAAUACACUGGCUUAAGGUUAUCGCAUGUCAUAAUAUUUUUGCUUGCUUUGAAUUUAUAGUUUUGGGAAUCUAAGUUAAUAUUUUCAAAGACCAAAAAGUUGCUGCAAAUCUCAGGUUAGCUCAGACAUUUUGAAAAUGUGAGAAGCAAGCGAACUCCACUGCAAAUCCUUGUUAACAUUAACUAUCUGGGUUUUUGUUUAAGUCUUUGAUAUCAGUAGCAGAAUUAUACCUGUACAUUUGAAACAUUCCUUACUCUUUAGCCUAUUAAGGAGUCAUCCCUUCCUUGAAACUCUGCCCUAAUUAUGACAUUCUUUCCCCUCCCCUGCCGCGAACAGAAUCAAGGGUAGACUUUUCUGCCCUAUUGGGCUAACUUGAAUUAAAAUCUGUCAUUUGCAUUCAUUUCCAACUCUGUUACAUUUCCUAAUGAACGGUGUCUGAUCUUCAGGCAUUUCCCGGGGUGUUUAUGAGAAUGGUGCCCACUAAGGCUUAGUGGCUGAUCACGGUGAUAUUUAGUACGUGAAGCAUCUUUACAAAGCAGCCAGGCUAGAAUCUUUGUCCUUUAUUGUUAUUAAAAUCAGUCGCCCACAUUCCUCUGCUACGGAGUGAGGCUGCCCGGGAUAACUCAAACACGAAUUCUUCACAGGGAAGACAAUAGCACUGAUCAUAACAGAACUAAGAAUCCAUGAAGCAGGUCCUAACUUUCUCUAUAAACUGGGCGUACAUUGAACAAACUCUUUUCCUUUUCUUUUAUUUUACUUAACUUGUAGAAAUUAGAGUAGUCACAUAAGCUCAUGAUGAAUGAAAAAAAUGCCCACCCUACAAAUUUUCC
rnacentral:lncRNA from 1 species